rnacentral:piRNA from 1 species
UUGUUGCGCUCUUUCCUGGCCGGUCG